rnacentral:rRNA from 1 species
UACGAAGGGGGCUAGCGUUGCUCGGAAUGACUGGGCGUAAAGGGCGCGUAGGCGGCUUUGUAAGUUACUUGUGAAAUCUCUGAGCUUAACUCAGAACGGUCAAGUAAUACUGCAGAGCUUGAGUGCAGAAGGGGCAACUGGAAUUCUUGGUGUAGCGGUGAAAUGCGUAGAUAUCAAGAGGAACACCUGAGGCGAAGGCGGGUUGCUGGGCUGACACUGACGCUGAGGCGCGAAAGCUAGGGGAGCAAACAGG